UGUUUCUCCAUUGUCCUACUGAAGCUAAACCCCUUCAUGACCCGACCUCACUCAUUUGCCCAGUUCUUUUGAAAGUGACAAACCAAGGUGAAGAUUGGUCAUCUACAACAGGCAUGAGCCUCAAAUAACUUCAUGCUGCUUUUGACUAGGCCGGUCUGUGCCGACAUGCUGGUAGGACGAUGCAGACGUCCAGCUGUCCCAACAUAUGGGAUAAGAACUCAUGGUUUCUGCAGGUCACGGGGUCACAGGAAAAUCAACAAGGGGCAGGAGUGACGGCCCGUGAUCGUCUGGAAUGACCCGGAGAAGACGAUUCUGUCCCGCAGCCGUCCUGGACUGAAGGAUCGGAUCGUUUUUGCAAUUUCUCUUUCUUACUGCGUCUUUGAGCGAAAAUGUCACCCCACCACACACACAAUAUCCCAACAAAAUGUGCACACACCUAGUCCUCAAUGAAAACGAAUUUUUGAGCACACUGAAUGACCCCCCCCCCCCUCCCCCAAGAUACUGAUGACAUCACAGCGGGAUCUUGUGUGAGAUUCAUUAAAGAAUUAAUAAUUACACUGAACCAAAACACACAAGUUGGGGACGUCCAAAAGAAGUUUUCCCCUGUUUGCAGAUUUUUUACAGGAAUAUUGUGAAAAUGAAUAACAGGAAAAACAAUGAUGUACAAUAUGAACAUGUUAGAAAUGUGAGUGUGGUUGACAGAAAUUAUCUGUUGCCAAGGAAAUCCAAAAAUGUACUUUUGCCGAUUCUUCUGAAAAUUACAUAAACAUGUUCGUCACCUCCAGGCAACCAAGAAUUAAAAUUGUUCCUAUGGAGAUAAAACCAUCAGAAA